GCCUUAGGGAAAGAUCUAAGGUUAUACCUGCCCAAUGUGUUUUUUAUCAAUGGCCGCGGUACUUUGACCGUGCUAAGGUAGCGCAAUCAAUUGGCUCUUAAUUGGGGUCAGGAAUGAAUGGAGUCUACGGGGUUCAGCUGUCUCCUAACUAAUUGUUUGAAGUUACUAUAUAGGUGAAAAAGCCUAUGUUUAGAAAAAGGACGAGAAGACCCUUAGAGUUUCACCUAAAUUAAGUGUUAGAAAAAGGUUACUUAUUAAUGGUUUAGUUGGGGCAACAUAGGAGUAAUAAUAAAGAUAAUCUCCUAAAUCUUAUUAACCGAUAGUUUUAAAUGUGAAUAAACUACCUUAGGGAUAACAGCAUAAUUUAAAAAAUAAGUUUGUGACCUCGAUGUUGGACUAGGAAACUUGAAGGCUAGCCGUCUUCACGGGAAGUUCUGUUCGAACUAGUUAUUCCU
rnacentral:rRNA from 1 species